rnacentral:rRNA from 1 species
UACGAGGGGUCCAAGCGUUGUUCGGAAUCAUUGGGCGUAAAGCGGGUGUAGGUGGCUUUGUAAGUCAGGCGUGAAAGCCCUAGGCUCAACCUAGGAAGUGCUUUUGAUACUGCAAAGCUUGAAUGUGGAGAGGAUCGUGGAAUUCCAGGUGUAGUGGUGAAAUACGUAGAUAUCGGGAGGAACACCUGUGGCGAAGGCGGCCGACUGGGCCGACCCUGACGCUGAGGCGCGAAGGCGUGGGGAGCGAACGGG